AUGUUAUAUGAAAGGAGAGAAGGUUAGCACUCCCCUUGACAAGGAUGGAAGAAGCCCUCGGGCCUUACAACACACGUAUGGUUAAGGCAUUGCCACCUGCCUUGUGGCAUCUAACCAUAGUUCUUU
ensembl:snRNA U6atac minor spliceosomal RNA